rnacentral:rRNA from 1 species
UGAGGAAUAUUGGUCAAUGGGCGGAAGCCUGAACCAGCCAAGUCGCGUGAGGGAAGAAGGCCCUAUGGGUCGUAAACCUCUUUUGUCAGGGAACAAAAGCGAGUAUGUAUACUAGUCUGAGUGUACCUGAAGAAAAAGCAUCGGCUAACUCCGUGCCAGCAGCCGCGGUAAUACGGAGGAUGCGAGCGUUAUCCGGAUUUAUUGGGUUUAAAGGGUGCGUAGGCGGCGAUGCAAGUCAGCGGUAAAAGCCCGGGGCUCAACCCCGGCGAGCCGUUGAAACUGCAGUGCUAGAGAAGGCGAGAGGUACGCGGAAUGCGCAGUGUAGCGGUGAAAUGCUUAGAUAUUGCGCAGAACUCCGAUUGCGAAGGCAGCGUACUGGCGCCUGACUGACGCUGAGGCACGAAAGCGUGGGGGAUCGAACAGGAUUAGAUACC